UACGUAGGCAGCGAGCGUUGUUCGGAGUUACUGGGCGUAAAGAGUGCGUAGGCGGUGCGGUAAGUCUGGUGUGAAAUCUCCCGGCUCAACUGGGAGGGUGCGCUAGAAACUGCCGUGCUAGAGUGUGGGAGAGGUAAGCGGAAUUCCUGGUGUAGCGGUGAAAUGCGUAGAUAUCAGGAGGAACACCUGGCGGUGUAGACAGCUUACUGGACCAUAACUGACGCUGAGGCACGAAAGCGUGGGUAGCAAACAGG
rnacentral:rRNA from 1 species